rnacentral:tmRNA from 1 species
GGGGGUGACAGGUUUCGACGAUCAGAUGUCUGAUCCCGGAGAAGCGUGCCGAGGACAUCGGCUUAUCUCGUUAACGAUGCUGAUAAACAAAUAACUGCCAAAAAGACGCAGUCCGAGUUCGCACUCGCCGCCUGAGGCGAGUAGC